UAGAUGUUUUAAUUAGAGAUAAGGUCGAACAAGGCCUGGAUGAGACGACCCAGUCAUGCAGGCUUGUCACCUCCAUUGGAGCUGGCAGCCUGGGUCCCUCUUUUGUCCCGAGUUGCAGGGAAAGAGGCUCAUGACAAGGGCAGGGCAGGGCCCUCACGGAAAUGCUGGCUGAUUUGCAAACCUUCCCCGUGAGCCGUGACCUUUUUUUUUCACCUGUAACCACUAUUAGCCCAACAUGGGCACGAGGGACAGGCCCGCGAGCCCCCCAGCAAGAAGCAGCCUGUGGGGAUUCGUGCUGCAGGCGCAGCGGCGGCGUUACGUGAUGCGGCAAAGGCAGGGUGCCGGGCUCGCAGCGCUUGCCUGGCUCCGCUGCCCCGGGGCCUCCUGCUCUGGGCUCCCGCAUGCCAAACGCCUGCAGACAAAAUGACGGCAGCCUCCGGGAUGUGGGGAGGGAGGGAGGCCGCACUGGGAACGGGCUGGGAAGCAGAAGCUGGUCUUGUGCUGGGCGAUGGAGACUGAGAGCUCUGAAGACAGACCCAAAGGGUCUCCGGCACAGCUCUGCAGCCCCCGGCAUCCCCCUGCAGCCCCUUGCGCCGUUCCCUUGGCUUAGCCGGGGGAAAUCGCCCCAGCGGGGUGAGAGCUGGUGGGCGCCGCUGCGGGACGUGGUCCCCGGGUUCGGGUCUGGAGGCGCACUGGCAUGGGUGGGAGCGAGGGCGGAGGGCUGGCAGGCGUGCUCGGCGGUGACAGCGCGGGACAGGAAGGGCGGUGUGAUUGGUGAGAUGAAGCUGCGCUCCUGUGCUUGAAGCCUUGACUGCAAUUGCCACAAGCAGAUAAGAAGGCAUCGCAGCACGCUGUGCGCCUGGGACGCCGAGCCCCAACGAUGCAGCCCUUCCAGCGUGCCCACCUGCUCCUCCUGCUCGCUCUGCUCACCCUCUGCUUGCCCCUCACCUGGGUGGUCGCGACUACAGAGCCCACAACCACCUCCCACGGCGAACCCAUCAGCCUGGCCACCUCAUGCUGCGGCCCAGCCUUCACCUCCCUCGCGCUGGGCCUGGCCGCGGCUUUCCUCCUCCGGCUGUGCUGAGUCUCGGGGCUGACGGCACCCAGGCGCCCUGGCCCCGCGGAGACACUCCCAGGACGGCGGCCCUGGGCCCUCCUUGGACACUUGCAGCAAGGACCGGCCAGCAUGACGCCAUCGCUCCCGCCUGCAAGUCCCUCUCCCCGGCCAGCCGGCUGCUCCAUGCUCACUCCCCGGGCCCCAAGCGGCCCCUCCAGCCCCCCGUGCCGCGCUCCGGCUCCCCUGCGCCAGGGUGACGAUGCCAGCCGAAGGCAGCCGUGCCGGCGGGACGGACCCGUGACGCUUCGCAACGUGACGGCGAAGGUGCCCCGGCUCGGCACACUCCUGGCUCGGGAGCAGGCGUGCUGCCGAGGCUUUGAGAAAUAAAACACUGGCAUAGCG